CACGUAGGCGGCGUGAUAAGUUGGAUGUGAAAUCCCCGGGCUUAACUUGGGAAUUGCAUUCAAGACUGUCGCGCUGGAGUAUGGGAGAGAGAAGUGGAAUUCCAGGUGUAGCGGUGAAAUGCGUAGAUAUCUGGAGGAACAUCAGUGGCGAAGGCGGCUUCUUGGCCCAAUACUGACGCUGAGGUGCGAAAGCGUGGGGAUCAAACAGGAUUAGAUACCCUGGUAGUCCACGCUGUAAACGAUGAGAACUAGACGUUGGAAGGAUCUGCCUUUCAGUGUCGUAGCUAACGCGCUAAGUUCUCCGCCUGGGGAGUACGGCCGCAAGGUUGAA
rnacentral:rRNA from 1 species